AUUAGCGCUCGCGUUUUCCCUCCCAACACAGAGCGCAUAAAACAGGGAAUAUGUCGUUGGCAGCGCGCGCCCUAUUUCGGAGUUUCCUCACCAGGAACGCCGGAUUAAACUCACGAAAUAUGAAAGGAGUUGCACUGAGUCGAAACGCGGUGACAUCGAUGUCGGGAGCCAUACCCCCAAAACCAGAUAAAAUCCCGUUUGGUGUCGUGCGCAUGGCAGUAGUGGUGGCCCCGUUCCUCUACGUAGGAACGCUCAUCAGCAAGCAGUUUGCAGCUAUUCUGGAAGAGAACGACAUCUUCGUUCCUGACGAUGACGAUGACUGAGUAACGUCAGGCUGGGUCGUGCCGUGUGACUGGGGAAGCAAACCAUUUCACACACUAAAGAUAACUCUAAGUGGGAUCACUGCAAUAACGUUCAAGCAACAUGUUCACAUUCACACCUUGCAUUCAGUGCCUGACUCUACAGAUUGACUUUCACAGCUAAAGUCUAAACGUAUAGUUUUGUUUCAGCUGAAUAAAACACUUGACUCUUA